rnacentral:rRNA from 1 species
UUAAGCGACUAAGCGUACACGGUGGAUGCCCUGGCAGUCAGAGGCGAUGAAGGACGUGCUAAUCUGCGAUAAGCGUCGGUAAGGUGAUAUGAACCGUUAUAACCGGCGAUUUCCGAAUGGGGAAACCCAGUGUGUUUCGACACACUAUCAUUAACUGAAUCCAUAGGUUAAUGAGGCGAACCGGGGGAACUGAAACAUCUAAGUACCCCGAGGAAAAGAAAUCAACCGAGAUUCCCCCAGUAGCGGCGAGCGAACGGGGAGNUGUGUGUUAGUGGAAGCGUCUGGAAAGGCGCGCGAUACAGGGUGACAGCCCCGUACACAAAAAUGCACAUGCUGUGAGCUCGAUGAGUAGGGCGGGACACGUGGUAUCCUGUCUGAAUAUGGGGGGACCAUCCUCCAAGGCUAAAUACUCCUGACUGACCGAUAGUGAACCAGUACCGUGAGGGAAAGGCGAAAAGAACCCCGGCGAGGGGAGUGAAAAAGAACCUGAAACCGUGUACGUACAAGCAGUGGGAGCACGCUUAGGCGUGUGACUGCGUACCUUUUGUAUAAUGGGUCAGCGACUUAUAUUCUGUAGCAAGGUUAACCGAAUAGGGGAGCCGAAGGGAAACCGAGUCUUAACUGGGCGUUAAGUUGCAGGGUAUAGACCCGAAACCCGGUGAUCUAGCCAUGGGCAGGUUGAAGGUUGGGUAACACUAACUGGAGGACCGAACCGACUAAUGUUGAAAAAUUAGCGGAUGACUUGUGGCUGGGGGUGAAAGGCCAAUCAAACCGGGAGAUAGCUGGUUCUCCCCGAAAGCUAUUUAGGUAGCGCCUCGUGAAUUCAUCUCCGGGGGUAGAGCACUGUUUCGGCAAGGGGGUCAUCCCGACUUACCAACCCGAUGCAAACUGCGAAUACCGGAGAAUGUUAUCACGGGAGACACACGGCGGGUGCUAACGUCCGUCGUGAAGAGGGAAACAACCCAGACCGCCAGCUAAGGUCCCAAAGUCAUGGUUAAGUGGGAAACGAUGUGGGAAGGCCCAGACAGCCAGGAUGUUGGCUUAGAAGCAGCCAUCAUUUAAAGAAAGCGUAAUAGCUCACUGGUCGAGUCGGCCUGCGCGGAAGAUGUAACGGGGCUAAACCAUGCACCGAAGCUGCGGCAGCGACACUAUGUGUUGUUGGGUAGGGGAGCGUUCUGUAAGCCUGUGAAGGUGUGCUGUGAGGCAUGCUGGAGGUAUCAGAAGUGCGAAUGCUGACAUAAGUAACGAUAAAGCGGGUGAAAAGCCCGCUCGCCGGAAGACCAAGGGUUCCUGUCCAACGUUAAUCGGGGCAGGGUGAGUCGACCCCUAAGGCGAGGCCGAAAGGCGUAGUCGAUGGGAAACAGGUUAAUAUUCCUGUACUUGGUGUUACUGCGAAGGGGGGACGGAGAAGGCUAUGUUGGCCGGGCGACGGUUGUCCCGGUUUAAGCGUGUAGGCUGGUUUUCCAGGCAAAUCCGGAAAAUCAAGGCUGAGGCGUGAUGACGAGGCACUACGGUGCUGAAGCAACAAAUGCCCUGCUUCCAGGAAAAGCCUCUAAGCAUCAGGUAACAUCAAAUCGUACCCCAAACCGACACAGGUGGUCAGGUAGAGAAUACCAAGGCGCUUGAGAGAACUCGGGUGAAGGAACUAGGCAAAAUGGUGCCGUAACUUCGGGAGAAGGCACGCUGAUAUGUAGGUGAAGCGACUUGCUCGUGGAGCUGAAAUCAGUCGAAGAUACCAGCUGGCUGCAACUGUUUAUUAAAAACACAGCACUGUGCAAACACGAAAGUGGACGUAUACGGUGUGACGCCUGCCCGGUGCCGGAAGGUUAAUUGAUGGGGUCAGCGCAAGCGAAGCUCUUGAUCGAAGCCCCGGUAAACGGCGGCCGUAACUAUAACGGUCCUAAGGUAGCGAAAUUCCUUGUCGGGUAAGUUCCGACCUGCACGAAUGGCGUAAUGAUGGCCAGGCUGUCUCCACCCGAGACUCAGUGAAAUUGAACUCGCUGUGAAGAUGCAGUGUACCCGCGGCAAGACGGAAAGACCCCGUGAACCUUUACUAUAGCUUGACACUGAACAUUGAGCCUUGAUGUGUAGGAUAGGUGGGAGGCUUUGAAGUGUGGACGCCAGUCUGCAUGGAGCCGACCUUGAAAUACCACCCUUUAAUGUUUGAUGUUCUAACGUUGACCCGUGAUCCGGGUUGCGGACAGUGUCUGGUGGGUAGUUUGACUGGGGCGGUCUCCUCCUAAAGAGUAACGGAGGAGCACGAAGGUUGGCUAAUCCUGGUCGGACAUCAGGAGGUUAGUGCAAUGGCAUAAGCCAGCUUGACUGCGAGCGUGACGGCGCGAGCAGGUGCGAAAGCAGGUCAUAGUGAUCCGGUGGUUCUGAAUGGAAGGGCCAUCGCUCAACGGAUAAAAGGUACUCCGGGGAUAACAGGCUGAUACCGCCCAAGAGUUCAUAUCGACGGCGGUGUUUGGCACCUCGAUGUCGGCUCAUCACAUCCUGGGGCUGAAGUAGGUCCCAAGGGUAUGGCUGUUCGCCAUUUAAAGUGGUACGCGAGCUGGGUUUAGAACGUCGUGAGACAGUUCGGUCCCUAUCUGCCGUGGGCGCUGGAGAACUGAGGGGGGCUGCUCCUAGUACGAGAGGACCGGAGUGGACGCAUCACUGGUGUUCGGGUUGUCAUGCCAAUGGCACUGCCCGGUAGCUAAAUGCGGAAGAGAUAAGUGCUGAAAGCAUCUAAGCACGAAACUUGCCCCGAGAUGAGUUCUCCCUGACNGUCCUGAAGGAACGUUGAAGACGACGACGUUGAUAGGCCGGGUGUGUAAGCGCAGCGAUGCGUUGAGCUAACCGGUACUAAUGAACCGUGAGGCUUAACCUU